rnacentral:rRNA from 1 species
CCAUGAGGGAAAGAUGAAAAGGACUUUGAAAAGAGAGUUAAAAGUGCCUGAACUUGCUGAAACGAAAGCGGAUGGAACCAGUCUGCUUGGUGAGAUUGUCGCGUGCUGCAUUGAUUGUCUGCUUGCUCAGCGUAAGCGUGCUUGUAGUCUUUGACGUGUUCGCGCGUGAUGUUUCUUGCCUUGUCAGUCACUGUCAGUUGGCAGGCGAGGAUAACUCUUGGGACAUGGUAGCCUGCUUGCGGGUGGGUGAAUGUGCCUUGUAGGACUCGCUUGUGUACUGCAUUCUUUUGUUUGGCUGCGCUGCUGUGCUUUGCUGUCCUCGUGGCUCUCAGCACUGGCACCUCCCUUACAAUCCAUGGUGACGAAAUGGUUCUAUUCGACCCGUCUUGAAACACGGACCAAGGAGUCUAACAUAUGUGCAAGUUCAUGGGCGUUAAACCUAUGUGCGUAAUGAAAGUAAGUGCUGAGAUAUUUGCAUCAGCAGCCGACCAAUCAAUUGGGAGAGGUUUGAGCAUGAGCAUAUCUGUUAGGACCCGAAAGAUGGUGAACUAUGCCUGAGAAGGGUGAAGUCUGGGGAAACUCAGAU